CACUUUCUCCAUUUCAUUCUAGGAACUUAAUAAAUUUUGCGCUUUGCCAUUGUUGAAAUUUCCAAACACGCAGAAAGAGCAAAUACAGUUCAGAUUUUCUACAACGUAUUCCUUUGUGCGUGAAUGAUACAAAGGUA